GAAUUCUUCACAAGCUCUGAAGGUGAUUCUUAUGUGUGUUGGGGCUUGAGAAUUGGCUCUCCUGCCUCCUCAUUUCCAGUCUUUAAACAGGGAUCUGCACAGCAGCAGGCAGCAGAAGUAGGUAGCGCUCUGGAAAUACAGUUGGCAAAAGCUCUCUCCCUUAAAACUAACAGGGAGAGAGCUAACUCCAUGACUGGCAUGACAUCUGUGAACAAAGGAAGUGACAGGGCCACCAAGAACUGCUGUGGGCCAGUGAGAGCAACAGAAGACCAGGUCCUAGCCUUCCCUGCUGAGAACUUUACCCAUUGCCUAGUGAGAAGGAACUGGAGAUGCCAUCAGAGCUGCAUCGCAGUUAUGCUGGUAGAUUUCAAUUUUUACAAUUUAUAUUUGUUAUGAAUGUAUUCACCAUUCCUUAGAGUAUGUUUAAUUAUCCUUAGUCUUUGUUCUGCUUUUAAAAUCCACAUUGAAAAGGCAAAGUAACAUGUGCUUAAGAGGUCUUUAAUAAAUACUUUGGUCAAGAACAGGGAGGGGGUAGUUUAAUUCCUUCUAAUUAGACCCGCCCACCUCCCAGACAUCUGAAAUUUAAAUUUAAGUAAAAGUCAGUAUGCUUUCUAAAUAAAUGCAGUUUCACAACAAAACCUUUAGCCCACACUCAAGCAACUAUAUGGCUGCCCCUAAUUCCUCCUCUAUUGACAUUCAGGAGCUGCCAGGGUUUCUGUAAAAGUACCUGAACACAGUGGAUCAACCAACAGUGGCUCUGGGGUUUAGAGUUUUGAGCAGCAGCUCAGAGUGAUAUCCAUCUGCCUUUCUGAAUCACAGCCAACUUCUGGCCUCUCUGCACAGAUUUGGUGCAGGAAACUAGCCAUACCCACGCCCACACCCACAGCUCGCCCCGUGCCUCCUUCAUCUUCAUAAUUCUGCUCCCACCCUCUUCCCUCUUCCUUUCCCUUCAAGCUGCAACACUGAACUGAGUUUACGGAUGAUGCUCAACAAUUUAUUGUUGAUUAACUGAUUGAUUGAUUCUGUUGCUAUGGAAACCAUCAGAUUCUAGUGCAACAGUGGGAUUCCUUCCUGACUUUAUGCUUGACAAAAUGCUGACUCUCUGUGCUUGCUUCUCCCAGCUUGCCACCUCCAUCUGGGUCAGGAGGAGCAAUUGGAAGCAGAAGCUCCAAGAGAAAGGUGGGAAUGUUGGUAAACCCAGGUGAAAAAAAGCAACAAGGAGGGUUGCUAGGAGAAAUGAAUGAAAUGAUACAAGUAAGGUAGAAAGCAGAGUGCUUUCUACAAGCCAAGAAGUGGCCCCCCAACAGAUACCAAGCUCUGGACCUCCUGUUGCCUUGAUUUUGGACUUCCCAGCCUUUUUCAGACCUGUGAGAAAGGUCUGCCGCAUCUUGGAAGGAAACUUCAAAGCUCAUUUAAAGUCAGCCCCUCACAUAGCCCUGCUGGUCUAACUUUCUUCUGAAUGUGAUUUCAGAAGUAAAACCAGGCCAGGGGCUGGGACUCAGGUGAGUCUCACUGACCGUGACCUCUGGAGAGUCAACUGAAAUGGAGAGACAAAUACCAAGGAGAUAUCAGGAAGAAUAUUGUCCCCAGUAAAUACCUAAAUACCAAGUCACAUCAGGAAGAAUAUUGUGGAGAGAGAGGUAAAGAAUCAGGAUGGAAACAGAAAAUAGGCCGAACAAUGGCCAAGCAUCAAAAUCCUAAGUCAGGACAGUGCUAGGACUGCUUUUUUCUAUAUCAGACACGUGGGCUCCUGCUGUGUCUUCCUGGAAAGCAGAGGCCAAGGAUGGAGCAGACCAAGAGGAUGCCAGGAAAAGUCACAAAGAAGCCCAGAAAGCACAGCUGGAAGCCAAGAACCCUAUUUUUGGUUUGUGUGGGUGGAAGGUGAGGGACAAUAUAUAGUGACCAACAGGAUUCUUCAUUUGAAAGAGAAUGGAGUACAUCAGACCUGUGUAUUUAGGUGAAGUAUGAUAAACAUCAUCAUACUUCAAAGAUUAUGAACAUCAAAGAUUAUGGAAAGGAACAUGACUGCUUAGUUUAUUCCAUUACCAGUGAUCUGCUUGUUUGUUCAUUUGCUUACCCAUCCAUUCAUUUAUUCAUUCAUUCCUCCAUCCAUUCUCUUUCACUUAUUCUACAAUCAUGAUUGUAUGCCUACCAUAUCGCUAGAGAGAGGGCAGGAAAAGAUCCAAGGAUGUGAAUACAAUCUUCCUGCUUCAUGAUGAGAGCUAAAGGAAUCUGUAAAGACUUUGUCUUUUUCAUUUUUCUCUCUCCUACAUAGACCCUGGCAAAUGUUUUAUUUCUUAUAAUUUGCCUGAGGUUUACUCAUCCACUACCAGAGCUCUGAAAACACUCUUCAGAGCACUAUUUUAAAAUAAUGACAACGACAAUAAUAGAUAACAUAUAUUCAGUGUUUUUUGUAUGUGAAGCAAUGUAAUAACCAUUUAAAAUGAUUGUAACUAUACUUUAUAAGAGUAUGAUGAAACAGGCACUAUUAAAAUGCUAGUUUUUCACACAGCUAAUAUGAGAGAGAGCUGGGAUUUGGAUACAGGCAGUCUAGCUGCAGAGCCUCCAUUCAUGGCCAUUAUAUGGUCUGUCUAAUGAAUGAAAUGUUUGGCCUUAGAGAAAACUUGAAAUGCAUAGUUUUCUUUGCUGACUUGAAUGAUAUAAGUUUAAAAAUCCAAUAGUGGUUGCUAGUUGAAAAUUCCUAUUCCUUGGGAAACUGCUGAAAGUCUGUUUAGUACUAACCCCCCACAUUAAUGGCCAUUUGCAAAGCCAGGCCAAGUUUAGUCUCCUACCAGCACUGAAGAAACACAUUUUACCCAGAAGAAAUGAGGGCAAAAUCCUCUGAUAACUGGAAGAUGCUGGAUGUUCUGGAAAGAAAAGUAAUUUUUUUUUCAAUCUCUGGAAAUUGCUUUUUUUGUUUUAAGUAAGGGUGGCUCAGUAGAUGCUAACAGAGAAGCUGGGAUCAGCUAAUCUGGAGAAGAUUCUGAGAGAAUGAGCUGGGGAAGCUCACACUGAGAAAAUGAGAAGAAGAUUGGUAGGAAGGGCGGUUUCUUGCUGUGUCCAAGAACAGGAAUUGAGAAAUGGUAUUAAGCUGAAGGUGAGAGGGGAACAAAGAAGACUUUGAAAGUUGCAUACAGGUUUGAAACAAAGUAUACCACAAGGAAUGGGAACAUGUAGAGCUGUUUUAAAAAUGUUUCUGUGUUUGUGUGAGUGCGUGUACUAGAUAUAUUUUUUAAAUGACUUUUCUCGGAAUUACAUCAUACUUUGAAGAUCAGCAUAGGAAGUGAAGAAGGAACAAAUAUUCACUGCGAGCAUUCACUAAGGGCCAGGAGCUCCCUGAAUACCACAUAUGCCACCGCUCUCUCUUGUGAUCCUGAAGGUUUGUGAGGCAGUUAUCACUAUGUAUGGUAUAUUUUCAAAGAAAGCAAAUAAAACCCAAUGUGACUAAGAAAGAUGCUAAAAUCAUACAGCUAAUUAGCUGUGGGUCCAGGAUUCAAACCAGUGCACCCAGCACAUGGUCUUCAAUAAAUAUUUAUUGAGCAAUGAAUACAUGAAUGAGUAAAUAAGAUGAAGCAAGCAAGCAAGCAGGUAGGCUUGUCUAACCCAAGUGUUCAUGUUCUAUCCUCUGUACUGGUGGUUUUUAAAUUGUGUGCCACAAAGGCCUUGGGUAACAUGAGGAGGGUUAGUAUGAGUGGCUGUCUAGCAGCAUGGGGCCCCAGGCUCUCUAUCUCUACUCCAACCAGGGCAUCUCUGCUUCUGUUUGUGUUAAACAUUGGGCUUUUGCCUGAGGUUUCAUUUGAAGAAGAGGGCCUUCUUCUAGAAAGUGUUUAUUACUCCUGCCCCAUGCCGUGUUCCCUCCUAAGUAUGCAUUAUGAACUAGUUAAGUUUAAUAAAGACAUAUAUUAAUGUAAAGUUGGAAUUUA